GACAGAGGGUGCAAACGUUGUUCGGAAUUACUGGGCGUAAAGCGAGUGUAGGCGGUUCGGUAAGUCGGAUGUGAAAGCCCCGGGCUCAACCCGGGAAGUGCACUCGAUACUGCCGAGCUAGAGUAUCGGAGAGGUUGGUGGAAUUCUCGGUGUAGAGGUGAAAUUCGUAGAUAUCGGGAGGAACACCGGUGGCGAAGGCGGCGAUCUGGGUCGAUACUGACGCUGAGGUGCGAAAGCGUGGGGAGCAAACAGG
rnacentral:rRNA from 1 species